UUCUAUCUACUUACCCAUGGAAAGUUGCUUCAUCUGCUCCAUAACAUCGGGGAACACCAGAGACCUUCCAUUAACAGUGCAUCUCAGCUGGACACACUUGCUGUUUUACCUCUACUCAUGUCUAAGUGCUCCAGCUAUAUCUGGUUAUUUCCAGUUAUUCCCAGAGCCCUGGCCUUUCUCCUGGGCAGGACAGACUAUUUUGGGCCACCUGCUAAGCUGAGGCUAAAAGUUCGAACCAGGAAUUCAGAUGGUGCAAGCAUCAUGAGUCAAAAAUCAGUCAACAAAAGUCAAUCCCUCCCUCCCUCUUAUAAGCUGGUCACUGGUAGUUAUGGGGGUCCUCAAGAUGGGGCUGGACAAUGCCUUUACUGGGUGUUGGGAUGACCAGUCCGAAAAAGGAACAGUGGCAGUGCCAUCCACCAAGUGAUGCUAAAAUCAGGUCUCCUCCUCUGGGCAAAGAGAACAGCUUAGAGGAACAUCCUGUCUUCAAGACGGAAGGUGUAGUUAUCUGACCAGCCGCAAAGUACUGCCUAUUAAUGUCAAGUGUAGUCUAAUCCUAAUGUCACUCCUGCAUAUUGGAGGGGAAGCAACGUUUACUGAGCAUCCACUCGAUCGUCUCUUCCACCUUGGAAGAUGGGUGCAUCACUCGCCUUUUAUCAAUGAGGAAGCGGCUUCAGAGAGGUGAAACGACCUGCUCCGGGACACAUAGUUCCAAGCAGCAGAGCCGGGACUCAGUCCAGUGGGAUGCUCACCUUACUGCCCCCCACCUCUCCCCAGCCCGUAUGAGGAUCAGCAUCUUGAAAAUAUGGGAACAAUAAUCAUCACCUUCACUAACAAACCUCAUAUUUGUUGAGCGCUUACCAUAGGUCAGGCAUUUUUCCUAAGUGUUUUCUCGGUAUUAUCUCAUUUAAUGCUUGCAACCACCCCAUGCUACUUCCAUUGUCAUUGUUUUAUGAUGAGACACUUGGGUCACAGAGUGGGUUAAGUAACUUGCCCAGGGUCCCAAGGAUGGUACUUGGGCUUCAUCCCCAGGUGCGGUAGCUCCAGAGACCCUGCUGAAACCAACUGUGACUUCCUAGGGACUUGUAGCCGUAUCUGGUGGCUUCUCAUAGUACACGUACUGUAUUUCCCAAGUUGGUUCCCAGUCCAUGUCAGUGUCCACCCAACGGCCUGGCUGUGCUUGCCACAUCUUCCUUCCUCCUCCUCCUCCUAAGAUUGACUGUACCCUGGUAAGGCAGCUGGCCCUCUGGCAGGCUGACCUGCUCUUUUCCAGGUUGUGGCAGAGCAGGUGAUCCCAGUUUGCCAUUUGACAUGGGCCUUUGGCACCCAGCUUCUAUGUUCCAGAGAUAGUAACCUGCUGUGCCGUGUUCUUCUUGAGCUUUAAUAAGAUCCUUAUGGAAAGGGCCUGACCCAAAGGCGGCCUGGGGGAUUGAAAAGGAGCACUUGAAGAUACUGACAUUGCAUCCUUGGCUUGUUGCCUGCUUGCCGUGAGCUCUUCGGCAAGUCACUUAACCUCUCCAGGCCGCAGUUUUCUCAUCUGUAUAAUGAGGAGAUCCGGGCCAGAUGAUCUCUCAAGCACCCACCAGUCCAAGUUUUCUCUGAUCAUAAUUACUCAGCAUUCCUCCCUGAAAUAUUUGGAAAUGAGUAUUCUUUGCCUUUAGGAGUCUGAGUUUCUUGAUCCCACCCAAACUUGUGGUGCUUUAAGAAAAUUACCCCAGAGAUGCUGUGGAAAUGGCCUGAGGCUGCCUUUCCAGAGGAGGGUCUGGCGCCUUAUGCGUGAGCAGUUGGCUGCUGUGCUUGGCGUGCAGCGGGGGUCCAGGGCUGCGGGGCCUGCCUGUUUCCUCCUAAUUUAGCCCCAUGCAUGCAAGUCCCCUGCACCCUCGGCUCUAAUUAUUUUAUUUGUAAAAUGGAAAUAGGAAGGGGUGAGGGAAAGUUUGCACUAAGCUUUUCAAGCUGUUUUCACACUACAAAAGCAAUGAAAAAAAUAGAGAAAAUUUGGGAAAUCGAUAUUAGGCAAAAAAGUCAUCCAACACGUCUUUUUUCUAGUUCAAUUACUGUCCGUUACUAGUAUGGUCUUUCUUUCUUUUUUUUUUUUUUUGUUUUUUUCAUUUGUGUGAUUUAUCUACUAACCAUGGAAGUUUGUGUCUUAUGGGGUUUUUUGUUUUGUGUUGUGGCUGUUUUGUGGGGGUUUUUUUUUUGCCUUUUUGACUUAACAUUGUCAUAAAAUUUUACAGAUUGCUUCAUAAUCUUUGCAAGCAUCACAUAUAAUGAUGCAUAUUUCUUGCCAUUCCAUUUGUCUGUUGGUUGUUUUUUUAAUGCUAAAGAUCAUUUUUUCUUUUAUUAUUUAUAAAUAUAGGGCUAUGUUACACGUGUGUGUGUGUGUGUGUGUGUGUGUGUGUGUGGAUAUGUUUGUUUCUAAGGGACUAGAUUCCCAAGAAUAAAUUCUCAAGAAUUAAAUUACUGCUUUAAAGGAUUUUAUCAUUUUCCCAGCUUCUGGUACAUAUUGUCAAAUUGCUUUCCUAAAGGGCUGCCCUGACUCACAUUGCCAUCAGCAAUUACCCAUUUUGCUGCAUCUUAACCAGAAUUGCUUAUUAUCACUUCAAUGUUUUGUAGAUUUAAUAGACAAAGCAGCACCAAAUUGUUUCAAUUUGCAUGCCAUUGAUUAAUCAAGGAUGCCAAUCAUUUUUCCAUAUUUUUUUUACUCUUCCCUCUUGAAAGAACCAGGAGACCUAGGAGACCCUUUAGCCCAGUCCUCUAACACUUAGAGGCUGGGAGCCUCCAAGAAGCAGAAGGACAGUACAAGGUUACAGGAAUCAGACAGGAGACCGCAAGGAGAUGUAAUUAACCGUGUUCAGCCUUUGCUGGGUGGCGGCCGAGAGGAAAAACUGUAACAGGGGUGUAGCUGCCUUACUUUUGGUGAGCCCAAGAGGGAGAAACUGGCAUUAGCUAGUAUUCACCUGGCUUGCUAAGAGGCACUGGAACAUAGAAGAGAUAAACUUUGAUGUGAGUGCAUCAGAGAGACCGAGGAGGAAUUUCGGUAUCAGCCCAAGGUACAGGGUGCUCUCGCGGAGGGCCAAGCUUCUGGCUAGAGUGGGCUUGGGAUAAGCAACAAAAUGAAAGAGCUCUCCCAAACAUUGACCUUGGCACUCAAAAAGAAAAUAA